GCUGGGCAUGGUGGCGGGUGCCUGUAAUCCCAGCUACUCAGGAAGCUGAGGCAGGAGAAUCGCUUGAACCCAGGAGGUGGAGGUUGCAGUGAGCCGAGAUCGCACCACUGCACUCCAGCCUGGGCGACAGAGCAAGACUCUGUCUCUA
ensembl:misc_RNA Metazoa_SRP Metazoan signal recognition particle RNA